rnacentral:rRNA from 1 species
AACGCGAAGAACCUUACCAGGUCUUGACAUACCGAUGACAGUCCCUUAACCGGGAUCUUCCUUCGGGACAUCGGAUACAGGUGGUGCAUGGUUGUCGUCAGCUCGUGUCGUGAGAUGUUGGGUUAAGUCCCGCAACGAGCGCAACCCCUGUUUUCAGUAGCCAGCAUUUCGGAUGGGCACUCUGGAAAGACUGCCCGGGAUAACCGGGAGGAAGGCGGGGAUGACGUCAAAUCAUCAUGCCCCUUACGAUCUGGGCUACACACGUGCUACAAUGGCGGUGACAAAGGGAUGCGAAGCAGUGAUGCUUAGCCAACCUCAAAAAAGCCGUCUCAGUUCGGAUUGUAGUCUGCAACUCGACUACAUGAAGCUGGAAUCGCUAGUAAUCGCGAAUCAGAAUGUCGCGGUGAAUACGUUCCCGGGUCUUGUACACACCG